rnacentral:rRNA from 1 species
CGAAAACGAAUUCUCUCUUGAGUGGAUCCUGAGUACGACGGAGCACGUGAAAUUCCGUCGGAAUCUGGGAGGACCAUCUCCUAAGGCUAAAUACUCUCUAGUGACCGAUAGUGAACCAGUACCGUGAGGGAAAGGUGAAAAGUACCCCGGAAGGGGAGUGAAAGAGAACUUGAAACCGUGUGCUUACAAGUAGUCAGAGCCCGUUAAUGGGUGAUGGCGUGCCUUUUGUAGAAUGAACCGGCGAGUUACGAUCUGAUGCAAGGUUAAGCAGAAAAUGUGGAGCCGUAGCGAAAGCGAGUCUGAAUAGGGCGAAUGAGUAUUUGGUCGUAGACCCGAAACCAGGUGAUCUACCCUUGGUCAGGUUGAAGUUCAGGUAACACUGAAUGGAGGACCGAACCGACUUACGUUGAAAAGUGAG